rnacentral:telomerase_RNA from 1 species
UGGGCCCGGGAGUGGUGGCUGCCAUUUCGUGUCUAACCCUAACUGAGACUGGCGUAGGCGCUGCGCUUUUGCUCCCCGCGCGCUGUUUUUCUCGCUGACUUUCAGCGGGCGGAAAAGCCUCGGCCUACCGCUAUCCACAAUCCAGACCGAAGCAAACAAAAAAUGUCAGCCGCUGGCUCGCUCACCUCUCCCGGGAACCUGCGUGGCUCGCCCGCCCAGGCCCCGCGCCCCGCCUGAGGCCGCGGUCGGCCGGGGCUUCUCCGGAGGCGCCCACUGCCGCCGCGAAGAGUUGGGCUCUGUCAGCCGCGGGUCGCUUGGGGGGCCGAGGCGAGGCUCUUACCGCAGGGAAAGGAACGGAGCCGGUCCCCGCGCGCGGUGCGCUUCCCUGAGCUGUGGGACGUGCACCCGGGACUCGGCUCAGACACUU